UACGGAGGGUGCAAGCGUUAUUCGGAAUGACUGGGCGUAAAGCGCACGCAGGCGGUUACUUAAGUCAGAUGUGAAAGCCCCGGGCUUAACCUGGGAAUUGCAUUUGAAACUGGGGAACUAGAGGAUGUCAGAGGAAGGCGGAAUUUGCAGUGUAGCGGUGAAAUGCGUUGAGAUUGGCAGGAACACCGAUGGCGAAGGCAGGCUUCUGGGGCAAUACUGACGCUCAUGUGCGAAAGCGUGGGGAGCAAACAGG
rnacentral:rRNA from 1 species